rnacentral:rRNA from 1 species
CCUACGGGAGGCAGCAGUAAGGAAUAUUGGUCAAUGGGCGUAAGCCUGAACCAGCCAAGUCGCGUGAGGGAUGAAGGUUCUAUGGAUCGUAAACCUCUUUUAUAAGGGAAUAAAGUGCGGGACGUGUCCCGUUUUGUAUGUACCUUAUGAUUAAGGAUCGGCUAACUCCGUGCCAGCAGCCGCGGUAAUACGGAGGAUCCGAGCGUUAUCCGGAUUUAUUGGGUUUAAAGGGUGCGUAGGCGGCCUUUUAAGUCAGCGGUGAAAGUCUGUGGCUCAACCAUAGAAUUGCCGUUGAUACUGGUAUUCUAGAGUGAGAGAGAAGUAUGCGGAAUGCGUGGUGUAGCGGUGAAAUGCAUAGAUAUCACGAAGAACACCGAUUGCGAAGGCAGCAUACCGGCUCCAUACUGACGCUGAGGCACGAAAGCGUGGGGAUCGAACAGGAUUAGAUACCCCAGUAGUC